AACGACUCUCGACAACGGAUAUCUCGGCUCUCGCAUCGAUGAAGAACGUAGCGAAAUGCGAUACUUGGUGUGAAUUGCAGAAUCCCGUGAACCAUCGAGUCUUUGAACGCAAGUUGCGCCCGAAGCCACUAGGUCGAGGGCACGCCUGCCUGGGUGUCACGCA
rnacentral:rRNA from 1 species